GACGAACGCUGGCGGCGUGCCUAAUACAUGCAAGUCGAACGCUUCUUUCCUCCCGAGUGCUUGCACUCAAUUGGAAAGAGGAGUGGCGGACGGGUGAGUAACACGUGGGUAACCUACCCAUUAGAGGGGGAUAACACUUGGAAACAGGUGCUAAUACCGCAUAACAGUUUAUGCCGCAUGGCAUAAGAGUGAAAGGCGCUUUCGGGUGUCGCUGAUGGAUGGACCCGCGGUGCAUUAGCUAGUUGGUGAGGUAACGGCUCACCAAGGCCACGAUGCAUAGCCGACCUGAGAGGGUGAUCGGCCACACUGGGACUGAGACACGGCCCAGACUCCUACGGGAGGCAGCAGUAGGGAAUCUUCGGCAAUGGACGAAAGUCUGACCGAGCAAACGCCGCGUGAGUGAAGAAGGUUUUCGGAUCGUAAAAACUCUGUU
rnacentral:rRNA from 1 species